GAGAUGGUUCUCUAUGAGGUCCAUCAUCGGAAUGGGUACAAUUUAAACCCUUUAACGAGGAUCUAUUGGAGGGCAAGUCUGGUGCCAGCAGCCGCGGUAAUUCCAGCUCCAAUAGCGUAUAUUAAAGUUGUUGCGGUUAAAAAGCUCGUAGUUGGAUCUGCGGUCUCGCGUCCUGGUGUUCCCGCAGGGUUCUACUGGGUUCGCAGGCCUACCUCGCUG
rnacentral:rRNA from 1 species